UACAGAGGUCUCAAGCGUUGUUCGGAUUCAUUGGGCGUAAAGGGUGCGUAGGUGGCGAGGCAAGUCUGGUGUGAAAUCCCCGGGCUCAACCCGGGAACUGCGUCCGAUACUGGAAGGCUUGAAUCCGGGAGAGGGAUGCGGAAUUCCAGGUGUAGCGGUGAAAUGCGUAGAUAUCUGGAGGAACACCGGUGGCGAAGGCGGCAUCCUGGACCGGCAUUGACGCUGAGGCGCGAAAGCCAGGGGAGCAAACGGG
rnacentral:rRNA from 1 species